UGAAGGGGGAUUAUUCUCACUAAUCGCCAUGUGGUCAAACCAGGACCUGUAGUUGCCGAAGCAAUGUUUGUAAAUCGAGAAUAAAUAACUGUGCAUCCUAUAUAUAGAGAUCUGGUUCAUGAUUUUGGCUUCUUUCGUUACGAUCCUGAUGCAAUUCAAUUUUUAGACUAUGAGGAGAUUCCACUUGCCCCAGAGGCCGUUUGUGUUGGCUUAGAAAUCAGGGUUGUUGGUAAUGAUAGUAG